rnacentral:rRNA from 1 species
UACGUAGGGUGCAAGCGUUUAAUCGGAAUUACUGGGCGUAAAGCGUGCGCAGGCGGCUUUGCAAGACAGAUGUGAAAUCCCCGGGCUUAACCUGGGAACUGCAUUUGUGACUGCAUGGCUGGAGUGCGGCAGAGGGAGGUGGAAUUCCACGUGUAGCGGUGAAAUGCGUAGAGAUGUGGAGGAACACCGAUGGCGAAGGCAGCCUCCUGGGCCAAUACUGACGCUCAUGCACGAAAAGCGUGGGGGAGCAAACAGG